UUUACUUUGCAUACUUAGUCAUUCAUUCUAUUACUUUUUACUUCAAUUCCCUAUACAUGCCAUAUAAAUCCAAAAAGUUAUUUAACAAAAUCUACCGGAGUAUAUCUGGAUAGUGUGAUUCUCGAUGUAGAUCCGAUCCUCCGAAUGUAUAAAUACGUUAAUCUACAAAAACAAUAAACACACACAUGUAAGCUUAUAGAAAAGCUUAGUAAGUUCAUAGGCAUAAAACAUAAAUCUUACCAAACAUUUGUACACUUACACAAUAUACACCAUUACUAAGUUUACCUGUCAACCACAAUUUUUGGUGAAUUCCUUGGUAUAAACUCACUACUACUUAUUCUUUUACCAUAAUUCCUUUGGGCCUAUUUGUCACUUACCAUCCAUGAUCAAAAUUAAGGAACAGUUACGGAAAAUUGAGUACUUCACUUUCACUUUGCCAUAGUAUAACUAUGGUCUUACGUAUGAUCACUUAUCAUUUGUCCCUGAUCAGAUAAGUGUAGCUAAGCUACCACUUAUCACUUUGUCACUUGAUCAGAUAAGUAUAGCACUUAUCACUUUUUCACUUGAUCUGAUAAGUAUAACACUUAUCACUUUUUCACUUGAUCAGAUAAGUGUAGCUAAAGCUACCACUUAUCACUUUGUCUCUUGAUCAGAUAAGUGUAGCACUUAUCACUUUUUCACUUGAUCAGAUAAGUGUAGCUAAAGCUACCACUUAUCACUUUAUCACUUGAUUAGAAGUACUCAAAUUCGGCGUUCCGCUUAAUUUGAUCAUUUAUUCAAUUUUCGCAUUUUUAUUUUACUCUCUUUUCAACACUAAAUACAUUUCAUCAUACAUUAUAUAAUUCAUGAAAUUAACAUUUAAUCAUUAAAUUUCAGCCAUAUGAACUUACCUGGGUCGAUUUGCAGAAUUUGUAAAAGUUCAGGGACUAAUCAACUACUUUUUCUUUUCCUCGGCUUGGUUCGGGUUCU
rnacentral:lncRNA from 1 species